rnacentral:lncRNA from 1 species
ACCAUAUGCCCAGCAGAGCAGAAAUACCUGUGUUCCUCAUGCAGGUCACGCUAUCUGUCACUCCAGGCCUACAGCAGGGACUGAGUGGUGUAACCAUGGCAUAGUCAAGUCCGCUAUCAAGAUCUGGCCGUGCAUCAGUUGGUGACACAGAACCUUGUUUUGAGGCCUUAACGUUGUUUUUAACUACAGUACAGUGGAGAGGAGCCAGGAGCACUUCUUUUCGGGUAAGACACUCUCUCGAGGGCAGGUGUAGGGGGAGAAGGAGAAGGAAAAGGAAGGAGGGAGGGAAUGGGGCCCUUGGGAGACGGAGAGGAACAGGGUGUAUGUGGGCAAUUUCUUCAGCUUUAAAAAGGACUCACAAAGAUGUAUCCAUACUUUUACCUUUUAGCCGUGUAGAUGCAGGUGAAAGGGAUUGCUCACAGAAAAACUGUGAGGUUGGGCCUGGGAGAGAAGGAAAGAGACUGAUUUUUCCCAGUUUAGUUUGCUCUUCUUUUUGAC